UACCCAGUCGAGCGGCGAACGGGUGAGUAACGCGUGGGUACCUGCCCUAAGGUGGGGGAUAACCCGGGGAAACUCGGACUAAUACCGCAUAUGAUCGUGAGGUCAAAGCGGGCCGCAAGGCUCGCGCCAUAGGAGGGGCCCGCGUCCGAUUAGCUAGUUGGUAGGGUAAUGGCCUACCAAGGCGACGAUCGGUAGCCGGCCUGAGAGGGUGAUCGGCCACACUGGAACUGAGACACGGUCCAG
rnacentral:rRNA from 1 species